rnacentral:rRNA from 1 species
UCAGGACGAACGCUGGCGGCGUGCCUAAUACAUGCAAGUCGAACGGUCUUUCUAUGGAAGCUUGCUUCCACUGGGAAGAUAGUGGCGGACGGGUGAGUAACACGUGGGUAACCUGCCCAUAAGAGGGGGGAUAACAUCCGGAAACGGGUGCUAAUACCGCAUAGUUUUCUUGAUCGCAUGAUUGAGAAAGGAAAGACGGCCUUUGUGCUGUCGCUUAUGGAUGGACCCGCGGCGUAUUAGUUAGUUGGUGAGGUAACGGCUCACCAAGACGAUGAUACGUAGCCGACCUGAGAGGGUGAUCGGCCACAUUGGGACUGAGACACGGCCCAAACUCCUACGGGAGGCAGCAGUAGGGAAUCUUCCGCAAUGGACGAAAGUCUGACGGAGCAACGCCGCGUGAGUGAAAGAAGGUUUUCGGAUCGUAAAACUCUGUUGUCAGAGAAGAACAAGUCGGAGAGUAACUGCUCCGGCCUUGACGGUAUCUGACCAGAAAGCCACGGCUAACUACGUGCCAGCCGCCGC